AGAGUUUGAUCAUGGCUCAGAUUGAACGCUGGCGGCAUGCUUUACACAUGCAAGUCGAGCGGCAGCGCGGGGGCAACCCUGGCGGCGAGCGGCGAACGGGUGAGUAAUGCAUCGGAACGUGUCCCGUAAUGGGGGAUAACGCCGCGAAAGCGGCGCUAAUACCGCAUACGCUNUACGGAGGAAAGUGGGGGAUNUGCAAGGACCUCACGUUAGGGGAGCGGCCGAUGUCCGAUUAGCUAGUUGGUGGGGUAACGGCCUACCAAGGCGACGAUCGGUAGCUGGUCUGAGAGGAUGAUCAGCCACACUGGGACUGAGACACGGCCCAGACUCCUACGGGAGGCAGCAGUGGGGAAUUUUGGACAAUGGGGGCAACCCUGAUCCAGCCAUGCCGCGUGCGGGAAGAAGGCCUUCGGGUUGUAAACCGCUUUUAGCCGGGAAGAAAAGGCGCGAGUUAAUACCUUGCGUUUUUGACGGUACCGGCGGAANAGGC
rnacentral:rRNA from 1 species